rnacentral:rRNA from 1 species
AGUCGAGGGGCAGCACGGGAGUAGCAAUACAACUGGUGGCGACCGGCGCACGGGUGAGUAACGCGUAUGCAACCUACCUAUCAGAGGGGAAUAACCCGGCGAAAGUCGGACUAAUACCGCAUAAAACAGGGGCACCGCAUGGUGAUAUUUGUUAAAGAAAUUCGCUGAUAGAUGGGCAUGCGUUCCAUUAGGUAGUUGGUGAGGUAACGGCUCACCAAGCCGACGAUGGAUAGGGGAACUGAGAGGUUGGUCCCCCACACUGGUACUGAGACACGGACCAGACUCCUACGGGAGGCAGCAGUGAGGAAUAUUGGUCAAUGGGCGGGAGCCUGAACCAGCCAAGUCGCGUGAAGGAAGAAGGAUCUAUGGUUCGUAAACUUCUUUUGCAGGGGAAUAAAGUGCAGGACGUGUCCUGUUUUGUAUGUACCCUGAGAAUAAGGAUCGGCUAACUCCGUGCCAGCAGCCGCGGUAAUACGGAGGAUCCGAGCGUUAUCCGGAUUUAUUGGGUUUAAAGGGUGCGUAGGUGGUUUGAUAAGUCAGCGGUGAAAGUUUGCAGCUUAACUGUAAAAAUGCCGUUGAAACUGUCGGACUUGAGUGUAAAUGAGGUAGGCGGAAUGCGUGGUGUAGCGGUGAAAUGCAUAGAUAUCACGCAGAACUCCGAUUGCGAAGGCAGCUUACUAAGCUACAACUGACACUGAAGCACGAAAGCGUGGGGAUCAAACAGGAUUAGAUACCCUGGUAGUCCACGCAGUAAACGAUGAUUACUAGCUGUUUGCGAUACACAGUAAGCGGCACAGCGAAAGCGUUAAGUAAUCCACCUG